GGGGUGGUGGCGCAGUUGGCUAGCGCGUAGGUCUCAUAAUCCUGAGGUCGAGAGUUCGAGCCUCUCCUCACCCCA